rnacentral:rRNA from 1 species
GCGUGGGUGAAGAAGGUCUUCGGAUUGUAAAGCCCUUUCGGCGGGGACGAUGAUGACGGUACCCGCAGAAGAAGCCCCGGCUAACUUCGUGCCAGCAGCCGCGGUAAUACGAAGGGGGCUAGCGUUGCUCGGAAUUACUGGGCGUAAAGGGCGCGUAGGCGGCGCUGCAAGUCAGGCGUGAAAUUCCUGGGCUUAACCUGGGGGCUGCGCUUGAGACUGUGGUGCUAGAGGUCAGAAGAGGGUCGUGGAAUUCCCAGUGUAGAGGUGAAAUUCGU